rnacentral:rRNA from 1 species
CCUACGGGAGGCAGCAGUGGGGAAUCUUGCGCAAUGGGCGAAAGCCUGACGCAGCAACGCCGCGUGCGGGAUGACGGCCUUCGGGUUGUAAACCGCUUUCAGUGGGGACGAACCAAGACGGUACCCACAGAAGAAGCCCCGGCCAACUACGUGCCAGCAGCCGCGGUAACACGUAGGGGGCGAGCGUUGUCCGGAUUUAUUGGGCGUAAAGAGCUCGUAGGCGGUUCGAUAAGUCGGGUGUGAAACCUCCAGGCUCAACCUGGAGACGCCACCCGAUACUGUCGUGACUAGAGUCCAGUAGGGGAGCGUGGAAUUCCUGGUGUAGCGGUGAAAUGCGCAGAUAUCAGGAGGAACACCAGUGGCGAAGGCGGCGCUCUGGGCUGGAACUGACGCUGAGGAGCGAAAGCGUGGGGAGCGAACAGGAUUAGAUACCCUGGUAGUCCACGCCGUAAACGUUGGGUACUAGGUGUGGGGUCUUAUCAACAGAUUCCGUGCCGCAGCUAACGCAUUAAGUACCCCGCCUGGGGAGUACGGCCGCAAGGCUAAAACUCAAAGGAAUUGACGG